rnacentral:rRNA from 1 species
CGCAUGGUAGGAGAGCGUUCCGUAAGCCUGCGAAGGUGCCUUGUAAAGGGUGCUGGAGGUAUCGGAAGUGCGAAUGCUGACAUGAGUAGCGAUAAAGGGGGUGAAAGGCCCCCUCGCCGUAAGCCCAAGGUUUCCUACGCAACGUUCAUCGGCGUAGGGUGAGUCGGCCCCUAAGGCGAGGCAGAAAUGCGUAGCUGAUGGGAAGCAGGUCAAUAUUCCUGCACCGUCGUUAGAUGCGAUGGGGGGACGGAUCGCGGAAGGUUGUCCGGGUGUUGGACGUCCCGGUCGCUGCAUUGGAGAAGGCGCUUAGGCAAAUCCGGGCGCAGGAUUCAAGGGUGUGGCGCGAGCGACUUCGGUCGCGAAGCAAUUGGAAGUGGUUCCAAGAAAAGCCUCUAAGCUUCAGUCUAACGAUGACCGUACCGCAAACCGACACAGGUGGGCGAGAUGAGUAUUCUAAGGCGCUUGAGAGAACUCGGGAGAAGGAACUCGGCAAAUUGGUACCGUAACUUCGGGAUAAGGUACGCCCUUGUAGCUUGACCAGCCUGCGCUGGAAGGGUGAAGGGGUUGCAAUAAACUGGUGGCUGCGACUGUUUAAUAAAAACACAGCACUCUGCAAACACGAAAGUGGACGUAUAGGGUGUGACGCCUGCCCGGUGCCGGAAGAUUAAAUGAUGGGGUGCAAGCUCUUGAUUGAAGUCCCGGUAAACGGCGGCCGUAACUAUAACGGUCCUAAGGUAGCGAAAUUCCUUGUCGGGUAAGUUCCGACCUGCACGAAUGGCGUAACGAUGGCCACACUGUCUCCUCCCGAGACUCAGCGAAGUUGAAGUGUUUGUGAUGAUGCAAUCUACCCGCGGCUAGACGGA